CAACUACUCCCUCCGUUCGGAAUUACUUGUCUCGGAAAUGGAUGUAUCUAGAACUAAAAUACAUCUUGAUACAUCCAUCUCUGCGACAAGUAAUUCCGAACGAAGGGAGUACCUG
rnacentral:pre_miRNA from 1 species